AAUAUUUUGCAAGGGGGGAAACCCGGACGUAGCGCCGCCGCGUGAACGAUGCUGGCCUGCGGGUCGUAAAGUCCUGUCCUCAGGGAAGAAAGGGGUCACUUAUGACGCCUUGACGGUACCCGCGGUGUAAGCACCGGCUAACUACCUGCCAGCAGCCGCGGUAAUACGUAGGGGGCAAGCGUUGUCCAGAAUUAUUGGGCGUAAAGGGUGCGUAGGCGGCCUUUCAAGUCAGAUGUUAAAGACCACAGCUUAACUGUGGGAUUGCAUUUGAAACUACAAGGCUUGAGUCGCGGAGAAGGUAGAGGAAUUCCCGGAGUAGCAGCGAAAUGCGUAGAUAUCGGGAGGAACACCAGUGGCGAAGGCGACUACCUGGACGACAACUGACGCUGAGGCACGAAAGCUAGGGGAGCAAAC
rnacentral:rRNA from 1 species